AACGAACGCUGGCGGCAUGCCUAACACAUGCAAGUCGAACGAAGCCUUCGGGCUUAGUGGCGCACGGGUGCGUAACGCGUGGGAAUCUGCCCUUGGGUUCGGAAUAACAGUUAGAAAUGACUGCUAAUACCGAAUGAUGUCUUCGGACCAAAGAUUUAUCGCCCAAGGAUGAGCCCGCGUCGGAUUAGCUAGUUGGUGAGGUAAAGGCUCACCAAGGCGACGAUCCGUAGCUGGUCUGAGAGGAUGAUCAGCCACACUGGGACUGAGACACGGCCCAGACUCCUACGGGAGGCAGCAGUGGGGAAUAUUGGACAAUGGCGGAAAGCCUGAUCCAGCAAUGCCGCGUGAGUGAUGAAGGCCUUAGGGUUGUAAAG
rnacentral:rRNA from 1 species